GCAAGCUAGCUCAACGGUAGAGCAUCAGACUCAGGAUCUGAUUGUUGUGGGUUCGAUUCCCACGCUUUGCA
rnacentral:tRNA from 1 species